GUCUUCGUGGAGCAUGGGUGCUCGCUCCCGCCUGAUAUGACUUGGAGAAACACGUGUCAUCUGGGAGAGGCGGUGGUUCGACUCCACCCGAAGACC